UCGAGAAUUUCUCUCAAUGGGGGCAACCCUGAAGGAGCGACGCCGCGUGGAGGAUGAAGGUCUUCGGAUUGUAAACUCCUGUCAUUUGGGAACAAAUACCUGAUUUAACUGAUUAGGAACUGAUAGUACCAGAAGAGGAAGAGACGGCUAACUCUGUGCCAGCAGCCGCGGUAAUACAGAGGUCUCAACCGUUGUUCGGAUUCAUUGGGCGUAAAGGGUGCGUAGGCGGUCGCGCAAGUCGGAUGUGAAAUCUUAGGGCUCAACCCUGAAACUGCAUUCGAUACUGCGUGGCUAGAGUACUGGAGAGGAGACUGGAAUUUACGGUGUAGCAGUGAAAUGCGUAGAUAUUGUAAGGAAGACCAGUGGCGAAGGCGAGUCUCUGGACAGUUACUGACGCUGAGGCACGAAGGCCAGGGGAGCAAACGG
rnacentral:rRNA from 1 species